rnacentral:sRNA from 1 species
AUGUACCAAACGUACACUCCGGUUCCUCCGCGUCGUCCACAUCCAGCUGAAGACCGCUCGCUACGUGCUGUUAGCC